rnacentral:rRNA from 1 species
UGGGGAAUUUUGGACAAUGGGCGAAAGCCUGAUCCAGCAAUGCCGCGUGUGUGAAGAAGGCCUUCGGGUUGUAAAGCACUUUUGUCCGGAAAGAAAUCCUUGGCUCUAAUACAGUCGGGGGAUGACGGUACCGGAAGAAUAAGCACCGGCUAACUACGUGCCAGCAGCCGCGGUAAUACGUAGGGUGCAAGCGUUAAUCGGAAUUACUGGGCGUAAAGCGUGCGCAGGCGGUUUGCUAAGACCGAUGUGAAAUCCCCGGGCUCAACCUGGGAACUGCAUUGGUGACUGGGCAGGCUAGAGUAUGGCAGAGGGGGGUAGAAUUCCACGUGUAGCAGUGAAAUGCGUAGAGAUGUGGAGGAAUACCGAUGGCGAAGGCAGCCCCCUGGGCCAAUACUGACGCUCAUGCACGAAAGCGUGGGGAGCAAACAGGAUUAGAUACCCUGGUAGUCCACGCCCUAAACGAUGUCAACUAGUUGUUGGGGAUUCAUUUCCUUAGUAACGUAGCUAACGCGUGAAGUUGACCGCCUGGGGAGUACGGUCGCAAGAUUAAAACUUAAAUGAAUUGACGGGGUCAUAGCUGUUUCCU